rnacentral:misc_RNA from 1 species
AAUAUAUACAUAACGCAUAACUACAAAGAGAUAAACUAGAGAUUGAAUUAUAGA